rnacentral:rRNA from 1 species
GUAGGGAAUAUUGGGCAAUGGAUGCAAGUCUGACCCAGCCAUCCCGCGUGCCGGAAGAAGGCCCUCAGGGUUGUAAACGGCUUUUGACGGUGAAGAAUCGACAGGAUGCGUCCUGUUUUGACGGUAGCCGUUGAAUAAGCACCGGCUAACUCCGUGCCAGCAGCCGCGGUAAUACGGAGGGUGCGAGCGUUGUCCGGAUUUAUUGGGUUUAAAGGGUGCGUAGGCUGGAAGGUCAGUCAGCGGUGAAAAGCUGUCGCUUAACGAUAGUCUUGCCGCAGAUACUUCCUUUCUUGGAUGAGGAGGAGGCAACUGGAACGGAUGGUGUAGCGGUGAAAUGCAUAGAUAUCAUCCAGAACACCGAUUGCGAAGGCAGGUGGCUGUACCUUAAUCGACGCUGAUGCACGAAAGCAUGGGGAGCAAACAGGAUUAGAAACCCGGGUAGUCC